AUUGAACGCUGGCGGCAGGCUUAACACAUGCAAGUCGAACGGUAACAGGAAGAAAGCUUGCUUUCUUUGCUGACGAGUGGCGGACGGGUGAGUAAUGCUUGGGAAUCUGCCUUAUGGAGGGGGAUAACUACGGGAAACUGUAGCUAAUACCGCGUAAUAUCUUCGGAUUAAAGUAUGGGAUCUUCGGACCAUAUGCCAUAAGAUGAGCCCAAGUGAGAUUAGGUAGUUGGUGAGGUAAGGGCUCACCAAGCUGACGAUCUCUAGCUGGUUUGAGAGGAUGACCAGCCACACUGGAACUGAGACACGGUCCAGACUCCUACGGGAGGCAGCAGUGGGGAAUAUUGCACAAUGGGCGCAAGCCUGAUGCAGCCAUGCCGCGUGAAUGAAGAAGGCUUUCGGGUUGUAAAGUUCUUUCAGUGGUGAGGAAGGUGCAUUAUCUAAUAGGUAAUGCAAUUGACGUUAGCCACAGAAGAAGCACCGGCUAACUCCGUGCCAGCAGCCGCGGUAAUACGGAGGGUGCGAGCGUUAAUCGGAAUAACUGGGCGUAAAGGGCACGCAGGCGGUUGUCUAAGUCAGAUGUGAAAGCCCCGAGCUUAACUUGGGAAUUGCAUUUGAGACUGGGCGACUAGAGUCCUCUAGGGAGGGGUAGAAUUCCACGUGUAGCGGUGAAAUGCGUAGAGAUGUGGAGGAAUACCGAAGCGAGCAGCCCCUUGGAGAGAGACUGACGCUGAGGUGCGAAAGCGUGGGUAGCAAACAGG
rnacentral:rRNA from 1 species